rnacentral:tRNA from 1 species
GGAGGGUGGCGCCGUGGUGGCGAAACGGUCUUGAAAACCGCGCCCGGGUCACACCGGAGGGUUCGAUUCCUUCACCCUCCUCCA